rnacentral:rRNA from 1 species
UACGGGAGGCAGCAGUGGGGAAUAUUGCACAAUGGGCGCAAGCCUGAUGCAGCCAUGCCGCGUGUAUGAAGAAGGCCUUCGGGUUGUAAAGUACUUUCAGUCGUGAGGAAGGUGUUAAGGUUAAUAACCUUAGCAAUUGACGUUAGCGACAGAAGAAGCACCGGCUAACUCCGUGCCAGCAGCCGCGGUAAUACGGAGGGUGCGAGCGUUAAUCGGAAUUACUGGGCGUAAAGGGCACGCAGGCGGUUAAUUAAGUUGGAUGUGAAAUCCCCGGGCUUAACCUGGGAAUGGCAUUCAAGACUGGUUAGCUAGAGUCUUGUAGAGGGGGUAGAAUUCCAUGUGUAGCGGUGAAAUGCGUAGAGAUGUGGAGGAAUACCGGUGGCGAAGGCGGCCCCUGGACAAGACUGACGCUCAUGGUGCGAAAGCGUGGGGAGCAA